CGUCCCUGCUCUCUCACUUCUCUAGCCACGGACUCCAUGGAACAGCAGUAGGCGCCCAGCUCCUUGCAUCAAGUGAGCCCGGUGGCCAAUUCCCUCUCUCAGCCGAGCGCUCCUCUAUUCGCUCGCGUAAAGUCGCGCCUCUGCGCUCCCCCAGUCUUCGCGCGGCAGCUUUGCGCUGCCGGUGCCCAAGUUCCUGCGUGUCCCUCCCUCUCGGCUCCCUGCUUCCAUGGCUGGAUUUUCCUGCUCCCUUGGCUCCCUCCGUUCAAGCUCCCAUCAGCCGCUCAACACUGCUCCACCGUCGCACAUGACCAUGCCAAGCUGGCCGCCCCUGCUCUACUCGCCCGGCUCGCCGUGGAGCCUCACCGUCGCAGCUCCAGCUCGGAUUGAGUCCAAUUUCUUGCGCCGCGGUCGCCCUCUCUGCUCUCCGCGCGUGCAGUUCUCUGGCGCGCCCUUGUCUUAUCCCUGAUCGCUCGCGUGGAUGGAUGGGUUGCUGCGGUGCUGUCUUGCUGGAUGAGCACUGAGUCGAUUCGAUCCGUCAGCUUCGUAUCGGGGAAUCUCGGAGUUUGCGUUAACUGCUCGUCGUCGAGCUCCUCUAUUGCGCGCGCGAGAUUCUCGGCUCGCCACGGCGUGUCGAGUCUCCUCGUCGAGUCUCGCCGCACGUCCUGUUUCCUGCUCGCCAGCGUGCCCUCUCAGCUCGCUCGCCUCUAAAAUCCCUAUCUCGUCGUCAACCUCGCCGCGACUUAGUUCGUCGUCGCGUCGUUUGCCGUCGAGUCGUCAAACACGUCAUCCUCUGCUAAAACCCCACCUCAUCAACUCGCUCCCGACUUCAGCUAAAAGUCGUCGUCGUUCCGCGCGUCAGCAAGAAAUCCUAAGAAUCGGGUGAAGACGAAGCUUGCAGCGCGAUAUUCCCCAAGCGCUCGACAAUUGCCUGGAUCGGAAAAUCACUACCGAUCUCGCGGAUUCGAGUCGGCUAUUGAAACGGUACGUUGAUUAACCACGAGAUGCGGAGAGCUUGAGUCAAGUCGACCCCAAGCGUGGACUACUCCGCAUGGUGAAGCUGAUGGACCAACCUGAAGAUGGUUAAAUCAAGCAAGUGCUCGGUCGAGGGAUACUCGCCAAGUGGACGUCGUCUAACAACACUAACCUAGUGUUACUCCAGGCAAGCCCCGGUGCAUGCAACCCCUUUCCUUGUGUUUUUAAAUACUUUUCGCACACUUAAGUCUAGUGAAAUGUGCAUUAGGUUCAUAGGAAUUGCUUGAAACCCUUUGAUGCAUUGCUUUCCUUGAUAUCCAUACCUUUAUAGAUACUUCUGUGAAGUAUCAAAAUAUGAUUUACAAAAAUGCUUAGCCUUGCUUAGAUCUUGUGGAUAGAGGUUGUCCUUAAUUUAACUCGAGAAAGGAUGGCUUCUACCUGCAAGAAUAUUUUCAUUUGGAGCAAUGGUGGGAUCUUACUGCAAAGCUCCCUGUGAUGCUCUUUUCAUCCUUGGGAACAGAAACAAUCCUAAGGAUGGAAGUAUGUAAAUCGAGACUUGGGUUAGGAACAGGUGAUGUUCUACCCAGGUUGAUUAAGGAUUAACGCGUAUGUAGGCUUGAUGAUCGAGGACCCUUUAACUGGUCACAUGCCUCGUCAUGGGUAAGCCUUGCCUCGGGCAGACUAAGGCCGGAAUAAGAUAACACGAAAUGGGCGUGGAGCGGUGGCGAGAGUAGUGUGUACCCUCCGUGGCAAGAGGCUGGACGGUGGUGUAUCUGUGCUCUCGGUUUGCGUGAACCUGAUCCGGUCUUAAGAACCCCGGUGGCGGGUUGACAUAUGCAAGGGUUAAGUGCUACAUAUGUCGUGUGAUUGGAGAUCCUCAGCUGAGUAUAAUCGAUUCGGAUCGCCGUACCUUCGCGGUUAUGAAGACUUGGUCACUGCCCUGCAACCUAAAGUCAGGAUGUGAACACUAUGGAUAAAAAUGAUGUUGUAUUGAUGAGAUGUUGAAAUUAGACUAGAUGCAAAUAGAGUCUAUUAAUACUUAACUAGUGUAUAACGCGCGACUUGCGCGCGAUUUUUUACGGUCUUAUUAGAAUGUACAUAUAAAGAAGGAAUGAUAUAUAUGAAGAUUUGGU